UCGAAACCUGCCCAGCAGAGCGACCCGUGAACACGUUCAAAAUCGUGGGUGUUGGGGCGUUGCUCGGUGCCCUGUGUGCCUGCUCGCCCCUCUCCCAUGCUGGGGAGAUCUCACUUGUGGGCUGUUCCCCGGCAAAACAACGAACCCCGGCGCGUAAUGCGUCAAGGAAUACAAACUUUAUGUGUGUACUCUCCUGCCACCCGGUCAGCCGGGCGUCGGAGUGGUGCCAUGUCUUAACAAUA
rnacentral:rRNA from 1 species